GUGAUCCGGCAGAGGAUGGACAUGCGGCGCAUUAGCUAGUCGGCGGGGUAACGGCCCACCGAGGCUACGAUGCGUAGGGGUUCUGAGAGGAAGGUCCCCCACACUGGUACUGAGACACGGACCAGACUCCUACGGGAGGCAGCAGUGAGGAAUAUUGGUCAAUGGGCGGAAGCCUGAACCAGCCAAGUCGCGUGAGGGAAGACGGUCCUAUGGAUUGUAAACCUCUUUUGCAGGGGAGCAAGGCGCGGUACGUGUACCGCGAAGGAGAGUACCCUGAGAAAAAGCAUCGGCUAACUCCGUGCCAGCAGCCGCGGUAAUACGGAGGAUGCGAGCGUUAUCCGGAUUUAUUGGGUUUAAAGGGUGCGCAGGCGGACUGUUAAGUCAGCGGUAAAAUGUCGGUGCUCAACACCGGCCGGCCGUUGAAACUGGCAGCCUUGAGUGAGCGAGAAGUAUGCGGAAUGCGUGGUGUAGCGGUGAAAUGCAUAGAUAUCACGCAGAACUCCGAUUGCGAAGGCAGCAUACCGGCGCUCAACUGACGCUCAGGCACGAAAGCGUGGGUAUCGAACAGGCUUAGAUACCCUGGUAGUCCACGCAGUAAACGAUGAAUGCUCACUGUCCGGGCCGUUUAAGGCCUGGGUGGUCAAG
rnacentral:rRNA from 1 species